CGGGUCUGGCGCAGAGACUAUCUAUUUAUACUGAUCUGCUUUCCCACAGUAAAGAUUAAGUCACGAUGAAAUCACUCCUUGGGGACAACAGGGAGAAUUCAAAGGGAUAGAGAAAGCAGGUGAAUCGAACAGGCCUCUUUUUUUCACCCUGUGCUGGAGUGGUUAGAAGAUGGACGGGUGGACGUUUUGGCACUGGACCCGCACCUGGCAUGUUCAGAACCACAUGGCGUUCUGUAGAGCAAGAACAACAUCCUCCAAAUCACAGCCAACAAGACCUGAAGAAAGAUCACUGUGUCUGCCAGAAGGGGGCGGGGUAACUCACACCUGGUCAGUGCCUCCAUCUGGUGGUGAUGAAAGACCACGAGAACCGAAAGGGCAGCAGAAGCAUGUUUAUGCAUUUGGUAGAAUAAUGAUUGUCCCCCUAGUGGUAAUUCUGCAAAAUUCAUUAUGUUAAGGCAUCAAAUCCAUUAAAUCUGCUUGGAAUGAUCAUGUCACAAAAGAACAGCGGUGGAUAGAUCAGAUUCAGAAAGUAAAAAUCCAGGCCAGGAUUUUGUUUCAAACAACCAGUUGCAUACUCUGUGACUGUGACUCUUUAUGUUCAACUGGUUGGCUAAAACAAAACCUCGGUCUGGAUUUUUACACUCUGGAUCUGAACUGUCCACUUAUGCAAAUAAGUGCAACUUGUGAUUCACUGAUGCUGUGGCACUGAUGCUGUUUUCUCCUGUGUUCCAGAGCUACAGUAGUCUUGGUGCAUUACUUUCAGCAUGGAACUCUGGAUCGUGAACCACUUAACAGCUUAUCAGGUAAGUAUUUAAGGUAAGUAAUUAUACCAUUUUAGAUGGUAGACAUAGCACUUUAUCUUGAACUGUUGGUGUGUUUAUUUUUGGCCAGGGAUACUUGAGGGAAUUUUUGACUGAAAUGGAAUUGUUUGGUUUUUCAUACACGAUGUUGAAAUAUGGGAGCAGCUGUCAGUCAGUACUUUAACAUUUUUGGUCAAAAUUUCCAGUGUUCUGAAAAGAGUUUGCUCUGUGUUUUCUGCACUCAUCUAUUGGUCUGUUUAGUAGACUGAUGGGAUCAACCAAACUUAAAUUUAUUAUUCUCGUGUGAAAAUUGAAAUGUGAUUAAUUUCGAUAAAUUAAUUACAAAGCUUCUAAUUAAUUGGAUUUUUUUUUUUAUCAAGUCCCAACCCUAAAUUUUAUAUAUUGUAGGAUAAAAGAGAAGACAUCAGCAUUCUGAAAAUACCACUGUGGAGUUAUACAGUGCUUAUAGUAGUGAUAAUUAAAGCAAAACUUACAAAAAAAUUGUAUAUUUUAGAUUUGUCGAAGUAGCCACCCUUUGCCUUGAUGUCUGCCCCGCCCACCAAAUUGCCCUCACGGAGGAGGUCCCUAACCCUGACCUCGCAUCAUUUCCACAGUUUCUCUCUUUUUUUGGUCAUUCCCUCGGCCGGAACCAUGAGGUAGCCACCUGGAAAGCGUUCCUGACCAUCUUGAAGGAGUUUCAACAUAUGCUGAGCACUUGCUGGAUAUUUUUCCUCUAUUUUCUGAUCAAACUGACCACAAACCAUCUCUACUGGCUGAUUUCGGUGGCCGGGACAUUUAUGACAGCAUUUUUCUUUUUGCCAAAUCUCUCUUAGCCUGGAGGUGUGUUUUGACUCAUUGCUGUAUUGGAAAGACAAAAAAUGCUUUGACUGGUAUUGCAUUGCACAUGGCAUUUAAGCCAACAAUGUACAGCAGACCAAUAUUUAUUUCUGCUUUGGCCUUAUCGAUAAUUCAUUAAAAUGUAAUUUGCUGUUCAAGAUUCAAGAGGUUUAUUCGUAAGCUCUGGAAUCUUGAAUAGUAAAUUAUAUUUGAAUCAUAAAUUGCAGAAGUGAAAUGAAACCUCUGCUUGUUUUCCAAAUCGUUCUACUUGUUCCGCAACUCCAUGCAUCAGAAAUGAUGAUGUAGAUUUUCAAUUUAGCACUUCGCAUGACUGGGCUUCAGAGUCUAAAUUUAGCCACCGUACUGCAGCCUGUGCUCUCCUCAUUAGAGAGCAGCCACCUGCAAUCACUAUGACAGAUGAAGGUUUUCUCUUGUCAAUCUUACGGACUAAAGGUCGCACCCCAUGUUGUGCCUACAUCCGAUACCUGUAUGCUGGUUCCAGGUAAUUCAUACAAUUUUCCCUGUACCCUGGCAGAACAAUAAUUCUUUUCUGGGAAAAAUGCAUUAAUUAAAUACCAUCAAGAGAUAGUCAUUGAGACUAGAAAUGAGCCAUUGUAAAAUAGACUCUGUUGCCAUAGCAAAGAACCUUUGAGCAAAUCUCCUUAGUGUGUAUGUUAAUAUCGUUGAGGACCACAUUAUAUUGUGAUGACAAUGCAUCAAGCUCAGUUUACCAGCUGGUCAACUGCUACCAGCUGGUAAACUUGAAUAUGGUUAUUUAUCCAUCCAUCUAUCCGUUCAUUUGCUUGUUUGUUU